rnacentral:rRNA from 1 species
CUGGCGGCUGCUUACACAUGCAAGUCGAACGCGAGUAGAAAUACUUGAGUGGCGGACGGGUGAGUAACGCGUGAGAAUCUGCCUUCUGGUCGGGGACAACCACUGGAAACAUUGGCUAAUACCGAAUGUGCCGAGAGGUGAAAGAUUAUUGCCUGAAGAUGAGCUCGCGUCUGAUUAGCUAGUAGGUGUGGUAAAGGCGCACCUAGGCGACGAUCAGUAGCUGGUCUGAGAGGAUGAUCAGCCACACUGGGACUGAGACACGGCCCAGACUCCUACGGGAGGCAGCAGUGGGGAAUUUUCCGCAAUGGGCGAAAGCCUGACGGAGCAAUACCGCGUGAGGGAGGAAGGCUCUUGGGUCGUAAACCUCUUUUCUCAGGGAAGAACAAAAUGACGGUACCUGAGGAAUAAGCAUCGGCUAACUCCGUGCCAGCAGCCGCGGUAAUACGGAGGAUGCAAGCGUUAUCCGGAAUGAUUGGGCGUAAAGCGUCCGCAGGUGGCUGUGNUAGUCUGCUGUUUAAGAGUCAUGCUCAACAUGAUAAGAGCAGUGGAAACUACACGGCUAGAGUGCGUUCGGGGCAGAGGGAAUUCCUGGUGUAGCGGUGAAAUGCGUAGAGAUCAGGAAGAACACCGGUGGCGAAAGCGCUCUGCUAGGCCGCAACUGACACUGAGGGACGAAAGC